rnacentral:rRNA from 1 species
AUGAGAUGGCCUGGAAGCGAGACUGCUCUGAACACCUUUUGUGCCCAACAGAACGGGCGUCCACAGGCCGGCCCUCGUGCACAAGUCUGGAUCAUGGCCACAGCGGCGGCGAGCUUACCCAUCGCCUGCCUCAACGUCGCCUUCCUGCUCCUGCUCGCCUUCUUCUACGUCUCGCGCCCUGCCGUGCCGCCGGACUCGGCGACGUCCAUGAACGGCUGGAGCGGCGACGAGCGCGAGGGGCACGGUCAUGGCGGCGGCUGCGACGGUGCUCACCGGCGGCUGGAGGCUGACAAGGACAGCUGCCCGCGGGGACGGGGCUACGUCGAUUACCUUUACCUGUUCUACUGCGUCUGCGGCGACGAGCACCGGGCCCUUGGGUACGCCGCGAUGGCCGCGUGGCUCGCCGUGCUCUUCUACGUCCUGGGCGACACCGCCGCGGUCUACUUCUGCUCCAGCCUCGAGGGCCUCUCGCGCCUGCUCCGCCUGUCCCCGGCCGUGGCCGGCGUGACGCUCCUCUCGCUGGGCAACGGCGCGCCGGACGCGCUCUCCACCGUCGCCUCUUUCGCGUCGGGCGGAGGCGGCGGGAAGGGGGCGAGCACCGCCGUGGGUCUCAACGGCUUGCUCGGCGGCGCGCUGUUCGUGUCCUCCGCCGUGCUCGGCGUCAUCUGCCUCCGCGUCGGCGGCCGCGGUGUCGCCAUCGACAGAGGCAGCUUCUUCCGGGACGCAUGCUUCCUCCUCCUCGCCCUCGCCGCCGUCGCCGUCGUCCUCGCCGUGGGCGAGGUCAGCAUAUGGGGCGCCCUCGCCUUCACCUCCCUCUACCUUGUAUACGUCCUCGUCGUCGUCUUCAUCCACGGCAGAUCGCACGACGGAGAGGCAGAGGCGGCGUGGGUCGACAACACCCCGGCCUCGUCCGAGCUCUGCAACGUCGUGGAGACGGAUUUUUACGCCCCGGACCAAGAUCCGCUGCUCCCCGAAACGGCGCCCCUCCUGCAGUACUACGCCGGCGACGCAACGAAGAAGAAGAGGAGCGUGUUCUGGUCGGUGGUGUGCGUGCUGGAGCUACCUCUGUACCUCCCGCGGCGGCUGACCAUACCGGACGCGAGCGAGGAGCGCUGGAGCAAGCCGGCCGCGGUCGCCGCGGCGACCCUUUCCCCUGUCUUCCUCUCCUGCCUAUGGAGCCACGCCACCGGGAGCCCGCUUCUCGCCCCCCUCCUCGACGGCAUCGCCGGCCUGUUCCUGGGCCUGCUCGCCUUCCUCGGCACGAACGCUGAUGCCCCGCCGACGAAAUUCCUCUCGGCCUGGCUCGCCGGUGGGUUCGUCAUGAGCGUGGCCUGGGAGUACGUCAUCGCGAACGAGCUCCUCUCCCUUCUCGUGUCCGCCGGCCUGGUGCUGGGCGUGGAUCCGGCGACGCUGGGGAUGACAGUUCUAGCAUGGGGCAACUCGCUGGGCGACCUCAUCGCCAACGUGGCCGUGGCCGUGGCGGCGCGCCGCGGUGGAGCCCAGGUGGCCGUAGCCGGUUGCUACGGCGGGCCGGUGUUCAACGUCCUCGUUGGGCUGGGCCUGUCUCUGCUGCUUUCUUGCUGGGUCGGGUACCCGAAUCCGGUAGCGAUACCCUGGGAGCCCAGGCUUUAUCAGACGCUAGGCUGGGUAGCUACUGGGCUUUUCUGGGCCUUCGUCAUGCUCCCGAGAAGGGGCAUGAAGGUGGAUAGGACGCUGGGCUUUGGGCUCCUUGCCAUAUACUUGUGUUUCUUGUGUACUACUCCCUGCCUUUUUGCUUAA